UGGGGAAUAUUGGACAAUGGGGGCAACCCUGAUCCAGCAAUGCCGCGUGUGUGAAGAAGGUCUUCGGAUUGUAAAGCACUUUCGACGGGGACGAUGAUGACGGUACCCGUAGAAGAAGCCCCGGCUAACUUCGUGCCAGCAGCCGCGGUAAUACGAAGGGGGCUAGCGUUGCUCGGAAUGACUGGGCGUAAAGGGCGUGUAGGCGGUUUACACAGUCAGAUGUGAAAUCCCCGGGCUUAACCUGGGAGCUGCAUUUGAUACGUGUAGACUAGAGUGUGAGAGAGGGUUGUGGAAUUCCCAGUGUAGAGGUGAAAUUCGUAGAUAUUGGGAAGAACACCGGUGGCGAAGGCGGCAACCUGGCUCAUUACUGACGCUGAGGCGCGAAAGCGUGGGGAGCAAACAG
rnacentral:rRNA from 1 species